GGCGGACGGGUGAGGAAUGCAUCGGAAUCUGCCUUUUUGUGGGGGAUAACGUAGGGAAACUUACGCUAAUACCGCAUACGUCCUACGGGAGAAAGUGGGGGACCGCAAGGCCUCACGCAGAAAGAUGAGCCGAUGCCGGAUUAGCUAGUUGGCGGGGUAAAGGCCCACCAAGGCGACGAUCCGUAGCUGGUCUGAGAGGAUGAUCAGCCACACUGGAACUGAGACACGGUCCAGACUCCUACGGGAGGCAGCAGUGGGGAAUAUUGGACAAUGGGCGCAAGCCUGAUCCAGCCAUGCCGCGUGAGUGAAGAAGGCCUUCGGGUUGUAAAGCUCUUUUGUUGGGGAAGAAAAGCAUUCGAUUAAUAUUCGGGUGUUCUGACGGUACCCAAAGAAUAAGCACCGGCUAACUUCGUGCCAGCAGCCGCGG
rnacentral:rRNA from 1 species